rnacentral:rRNA from 1 species
AAAAGAAAUCAACCGAGAUUCCGAAAGUAGCGGCGAGCGAAAUUGGACUAGCCCUUAAGCUUUACACGCGUUAGACGAACGGUCUGGAAAGUCCGACGAUACAGGGUGAUAGUCCCGUAGUUGACGACGUGUGUUCAGUGAAAUCGAGUAGGGCGGGACACGUGAUAUCCUGUCUGAAUAUGGGGGGACCAUCCUCCAAGGCUAAAUACUACUGACUGACCGAUAGUGAACCAGUACCGUGAGGGAAAGGCGAAAAGAACCCCUGUGAGGGGAGUGAAAUAGAACCUGAAACCGUGUACGUACAAGCA